rnacentral:rRNA from 1 species
UUAAGCGACUAAGCGUACACGGUGGAUGCCCUGGCAGUCAGAGGCGAUGAAGGACGUGCUAAUCUGCGAUAAGCGUCGGUAAGGUGAUAUGAACCGUUAUAACCGGCGAUUUCCGAAUGGGGAAACCCAGUGUGAUUCGUCACACUAUCAUUAACUGAAUCCAUAGGUUAAUGAGGCGAACCGGGGGAACUGAAACAUCUAAGUACCCCGAGGAAAAGAAAUCAACCGAGAUUCCCCCAGUAGCGGCGAGCGAACGGGGAGGAGCCCAGAGCCUGAAUCAGUAUGUGUGUUAGUGGAAGCGUCUGGAAAGGCGUGCGAUACAGGGUGACAGCCCCGUACACAAAAAUGCACAUGCUGUGAGCUCGAUGAGUAGGGCGGGACACGUGGUAUCCUGUCUGAAUAUGGGGGGACCAUCCUCCAAGGCUAAAUACUCCUGACUGACCGAUAGUGAACCAGUACCGUGAGGGAAAGGCGAAAAGAACCCCGGCGAGGGGAGUGAAAAAGAACCUGAAACCGUGUACGUACAAGCAGUGGGAGCCUCUUUAAUGGGGUGACUGCGUACCUUUUGUAUAAUGGGUCAGCGACUUAUAUUCUGUAGCAAGGUUAACCGAAUAGGGGAGCCGAAGGGAAACCGAGUCUUAACUGGGCGUUAAGUUGCAGGGUAUAGACCCGAAACCCGGUGAUCUAGCCAUGGGCAGGUUGAAGGUUGGGUAACACUAACUGGAGGACCGAACCGACUAAUGUUGAAAAAUUAGCGGAUGACUUGUGGCUGGGGGUGAAAGGCCAAUCAAACCGGGAGAUAGCUGGUUCUCCCCGAAAGCUAUUUAGGUAGCGCCUCGUGAAUUCAUCUCCGGGGGUAGAGCACUGUUUCGGCAAGGGGGUCAUCCCGACUUACCAACCCGAUGCAAACUGCGAAUACCGGAGAAUGUUAUCACGGGAGACACACGGCGGGUGCUAACGUCCGUCGUGAAGAGGGAAACAACCCAGACCGCCAGCUAAGGUCCCAAAGUCAUGGUUAAGUGGGAAACGAUGUGGGAAGGCCCAGACAGCCAGGAUGUUGGCUUAGAAGCAGCCAUCAUUUAAAGAAAGCGUAAUAGCUCACUGGUCGAGUCGGCCUGCGCGGAAGAUGUAACGGGGCUAAACCAUGCACCGAAGCUGCGGCAGCGACGCUUAUGCGUUGUUGGGUAGGGGAGCGUUCUGUAAGCCGUUGAAGGUGGCCUGUGAGGGUUGCUGGAGGUAUCAGAAGUGCGAAUGCUGACAUAAGUAACGAUAAAGCGGGUGAAAAGCCCGCUCGCCGGAAGACCAAGGGUUCCUGUCCAACGUUAAUCGGGGCAGGGUGAGUCGACCCCUAAGGCGAGGCCGAAAGGCGUAGUCGAUGGGAAACAGGUUAAUAUUCCUGUACUUGGUGUUACUGCGAAGGGGGGACGGAGAAGGCUAUGUUGGCCGGGCGACGGUUGUCCCGGUUUAAGCGUGUAGGCUGAUUUUCCAGGCAAAUCCGGAGAAUCAAGGCUGAGGCGUGAUGACGAGGCACUACGGUGCUGAAGCAACAAAUGCCCUGCUUCCAGGAAAAGCCUCUAAGCAUCAGGUAACAUCAAAUCGUACCCCAAACCGACACAGGUGGUCAGGUAGAGAAUACCAAGGCGCUUGAGAGAACUCGGGUGAAGGAACUAGGCAAAAUGGUGCCGUAACUUCGGGAGAAGGCACGCUGAUGGUAGGUGAAGCGACUUGCUCGUGGAGCUGAAAUCAGUCGAAGAUACCAGCUGGCUGCAACUGUUUAUUAAAAACACAGCACUGUGCAAACACGAAAGUGGACGUAUACGGUGUGACGCCUGCCCGGUGCCGGAAGGUUAAUUGAUGGGGUCAGCCGCAAGGCGAAGCUCUUGAUCGAAGCCCCGGUAAACGGCGGCCGUAACUAUAACGGUCCUAAGGUAGCGAAAUUCCUUGUCGGGUAAGUUCCGACCUGCACGAAUGGCGUAAUGAUGGCCAGGCUGUCUCCACCCGAGACUCAGUGAAAUUGAACUCGCUGUGAAGAUGCAGUGUACCCGCGGCAAGACGGAAAGACCCCGUGAACCUUUACUAUAGCUUGACACUGAACAUUGAGCCUUGAUGUGUAGGAUAGGUGGGAGGCUUUGAAGUGUGGACGCCAGUCUGCAUGGAGCCGACCUUGAAAUACCACCCUUUAAUGUUUGAUGUUCUAACGUGGACCCGUGAUCCGGGUUGCGGACAGUGUCUGGUGGGUAGUUUGACUGGGGCGGUCUCCUCCUAAAGAGUAACGGAGGAGCACGAAGGUUGGCUAAUCCUGGUCGGACAUCAGGAGGUUAGUGCAAUGGCAUAAGCCAGCUUGACUGCGAGCGUGACGGCGCGAGCAGGUGCGAAAGCAGGUCAUAGUGAUCCGGUGGUUCUGAAUGGAAGGGCCAUCGCUCAACGGAUAAAAGGUACUCCGGGGAUAACAGGCUGAUACCGCCCAAGAGUUCAUAUCGACGGCGGUGUUUGGCACCUCGAUGUCGGCUCAUCACAUCCUGGGGCUGAAGUAGGUCCCAAGGGUAUGGCUGUUCGCCAUUUAAAGUGGUACGCGAGCUGGGUUUAGAACGUCGUGAGACAGUUCGGUCCCUAUCUGCCGUGGGCGCUGGAGAACUGAGGGGGGCUGCUCCUAGUACGAGAGGACCGGAGUGGACGCAUCACUGGUGUUCGGGUUGUCAUGCCAAUGGCACUGCCCGGUAGCUAAAUGCGGAAGAGAUAAGUGCUGAAAGCAUCUAAGCACGAAACUUGCCCCGAGAUGAGUUCUCCCUGAGACUUUAAGUCUCCUGAAGGAACGUUGAAGACGACGACGUUGAUAGGCCGGGUGUGUAAGCGCAGCGAUGCGUUGAGCUAACCGGUACUAAUGAACCGUGAGGCUUAACCUU